CAUCUGUAGGAAACACAGAAACAUGAUGUGAAUUACCGAUUGAUGGAACUUCACAUUCACACUUACUCUCACCUAACGGAUUACUAGGAACAAACUUCUCCUUAAUGCAGUUAUCCAAUCAGCCAAUCACAGGGCAGCUGCUUCAAUGCACUAGUGUACGUACACCUGCUUGUAUAUACAAGGUUUCUCUAUAGGAGCAAGAUGUGUAGGAGAUGAAGGGAGCUCCAAGUACCUGAGAUCCAGGAGCUGCACCAGAGCUUAGGGACCCCAGGGAGACUGUAACCAGAAAAGCCCCAGCCCCUCCUCGAGAGGUGCAGAGGAUUACCCCGGGGGGCCACAACCAGCAGCCGGCAGAGUCCAGGGAGAUAACAGUGGCAAGCCUAGAGGCCGGCCCGCAGCCUCCCAUCUCCAAGCUGGCUAAGCCCAGGAACCAGUGCCCCCGGACCCAGGGGCGACCAACCCCACCGGGGACCCAACAGAGGCCAGGGACGCAGAUCCCACCAGGCAGCCAACGGGAUCAAUCAGACAGAUGCCUAAAAUCUUAAGUUCCGUGAACCGGGAAGCCGCGAACACGCAGGCAGACCAAGACCCCACACUCAGCAGCAAAUGUUGCAUGGGGAGGGCAGGCAGCACUGGAAGACCCAAGAGAAGGGAGGAGUCCAAGAUCCCACCUGACAUAUACAGUCUUACACAGUCACACACUCCCUCCCUCAUGCUCACACAUACACAUACAACCUAAGACUUACAAAAGUGAACGCUAGACACCCACUCACGGUCCCCAUACAAACCCUAUUCACUCUGGUCCCAGUACUGGAGUUCAAAGAUGGCGCUGACUGUUGUGGCACGCCGUCUGCUUCUCCUGGCUAUUAUGCUGACUCUUUUGUUUUUGAAUCGCUUUUCGGCUGAUUGUCAUCCUACUUUACAAUAUGACCGGCAUACACUCAUGGAUCUUUGAUUAAACCCGGGAUUUCCACGGUUUCAUGAUGCAACUUUUGGGCCGAUUUUCGGUAGCCUGUUUGAGGAGUUUCUGGUGGAGCUUCUUGGUACUCCUGGCUGGACGGCGCGGAAAACGUGCCUAUGUCAGGGUCAGGAUCAGAUCCCUCCGACGGAAUGGCAAUGCUGGUGGGUUUGCUUGCCUGGACGUGCCUCCCUGUGAUUCUCCAACUCGUUUCAUCCAGAUACUGCAUCACCAAAGGCUGGAUUGCACAUAUGGGAGCAGUCAUACGAUGUGCCGCACUGGAGGAGUAAAUCCCCGUAAUCUUUGUUAUCCUGUGAGGUCGGGUAUGUGCAGCUUUCGUUGCGGUCCCUGCCACCUAUUCGGAUUGCCCUACUGAAUGUCCGCUCUGUAAGGAAUUAAACAGCUAUUCUAAAGAACUUCUACAUCAACAAGGAAGUGAGCUCGUUCUGCAAUGACUGAAAUGUGGGUCCCGCCUGAUGAGUCGGAUUCUCUGGUUGAACUCUGUCCUCCUGGCUGUAACAUUAUCAAUGAGCCAAGACACUCUUGUCAUGGGGGGCUUAUUAUCCCUGUAUUGUUCCAGUCUCCCCCUAAAACCCCUUGCUAGGCCACUGGCUCCAACCAGCUUUGAGGUUUCAUUUUUUGAGCUGGGGUUUUCUCUUCCCAUACUCGUACUUUGCUACAGGCCACCAAAAUAUAGCAGUGUCUUUAUAAAUGAACUCUCUGAUCUUUUAGUUGAUUUACUCCCUAAAUAUGACCAGGGAAUUAUCCUAGGUGAUUUUAAUAUCCACAUUUGCUGUCCUCUGAGGCCAUUGAUGAAGGAUUUUGUUGACAUCUUGGACUCAUUUGGAUUACAACAACUGGUUAAUGUCACCACACACACCGGCUCUUACACCCUGGAUUUGGCUUUAUCUUUUGAACCAGAUGUGAUUGACCCGUCUGUGGACUCUGCGGCAUUUUCUGACCAUGCUGCAAUUUUAUUCAAUAUCUCACAUCUUCUUUCUCCAGCCCAGAGACAGGCUGCUCGUUACUCUAGGUGCUUAUCUCUAAAUACGACCUCAAAUUUUCUUUUUCUCCUGGAUAUUGGUCCUCUCACAAUACCCCGUUCAGUUUCCUGCAUGGAUGUAGAUGGCCUUUUGCAUUUGUUCAACGAGACCUGCUCUGCUGCCCUGGAUGCUGUUGUAACAAUGGGUAGUUUACAUCUUACUUAUGAACCAUAAAAUGUGAGAUUCCAUAGAAAUAUGAAAUAUCAAUCUGAUGGAAAUUUAUUUCUACACAAUUUAAACAAGACUAACUUUAAACACUGUGUACUGAUUAACUAGGUGGAACGAGACGUGAGACGAAUGAUGUAUGUGUGGAAUGUUGUUAUCAGAACCUCGUAUCUGGAGAAGCAUUUAGUUCUGAGUGGAGUGAAUGUUUCGCUCUAAACUUCAGUUGGAGAUUUAGAACACACAUUAAAGGCCAUCUGUCGGUCUACGUACCCCAGGGGAAGCCUCCACUUAGACUCAGAGUGUUGAGGUACGUGGACCCUCCUUUUUACCAAAGCCUGCAGAAAAGCAGCGGCGCCGAUUAGACUAGCCUCGGAAUGCUCCCAGGUCACAACAGGUUAUUAUUGGCUUCAGCGAGACCCUGAAGGGUUCGUGAGGUUCAGCUUUUAUUCUGAAGGAACCAUUGCGGUCAGGUGUAACGUGCAACAGAUUUUAUCCAGCUUGUCGAGCAAGGGUCUUUCGGCUGAAGAAGUGUUCGGAUGGCCUGUCCGAACUUCUCUAGAACGCUUUGAACUGAAGUAAAGGUGACGUGGAAUAGUUUUUAUAAUUGUCAUAUUUUGGUUUACUGGCGAAUCAGAAUUUCACAUGCAAAAGAGGGCUUAUACAAACACCACAGAAAACCACGCCUCGCAUCAGAAACGAAGGUUCUGAUUGGAUCAGACAAAAGGAAAUGUGUCGUGUGACUUUAGCAUUACUCUGUGUCAUCACGUGUCUAGUGCAGCUGUCCAAGAUUAUAAUUACUUGUAAAAUACUACUGAUCACAGAAUUAUAAUAUCAAGCAGGCAAAGACUGUAUUGACAAUAAAAUAGAUGGAAAUUUAUAUGAAUUAAACAUAAGUUGUGAUUAUAUUGGAGAAGAACAAUUGAACUGUGGGAGAAUGACUAAGGACACAAUGUCACUUAUCCACAUUAAUAGUAGAAACUUUUUUCCUAAGUUAUUAAUUAUCAAAGAUUAUUCUAAUAAAUUCAAAAGCAAAUUUAGUGUGAUUGCUAUAACAGAGACUUGGCUCAAAGAUGAUAUGAUGGAUGAAGUACAAUGGAAGGGUAUGAACUUUAUUUUGUAAACAGAAAAAAUAAAAGAGGUUGUGGGGUUGCCCUGUACAUUAAAUCAGAUCUAAAAUGUGAACUAGUUAAGAAAAUGACAAUGAUGGAAGAUAAUGUUAUGGGAAUUGUAACGGUAGAAAUCAGCAAUGAAACUGCUAAACAUACUUUAAUUAGUUGUGUUUAUAGAGCACCAGGAUCAUGAAUUGGGACAUUUAAUUAAAAAUUAUUGAAUUGGUUGAUCACAUUAAAUACAAAACAUUAUUUCUAUGUGGGGACUUUAAUAUUAAUUUAGAACAUGAGGCUGGACAGAUUACUAAGGAUUUUGCAGAUUCACUGUAUAGUUUAGGUUUAUUUCCCUUGAUAAACAAGCCAACUAGAAUUACAUCUCGGACUGCAACAAUCAUUGAUAAUAUAUUCACCAACAAUAAGGAUGAUGUCAGGAAAACAGAGAUAAUAAUGAUGGAUAUUAGUGACCACCUACCUGUUUUCGCUGUCUUCAAAGACAAACACUACAUAAAACAAAAUACCACCAUGAACUUCAGAAGAGAUAAACCAGUUAAAGCCAUGGAGGCAUUAAACAAAGAUCUUAAUAAACAAAAUUGGAAGGAGGUAUACGCCAGUGAUGUCAACGCUGCAUACACACCCUUCAUGAAAACACUUGAAGUCACAUAAUGAUAACUGCAAAUUAAUAAAAUCUACAGGUAAAAGGGAAAAGUAACCUUGGAUGACUAAGGGAUUAAAGAAUGCGUGUGUAAAAAAGAAUUUAUAUAAGAGUUUUUUAUUGUAAACAAGGGAAGCAGAAGAUAGAUAUAAAAAAUAUAAAAAUAAAUUGGUAACAAUAAUUAGGAAGCAAAAAAAAGAUUAUGGUAAUCUAUUGAAUCAGAAUAAAAAUAACACCAAAGCUACUUGGGAAUACUAAACAGUGUGACUAAUAGAGAGAAAACAAAAUCCAGCAUUCCAGAUCACUUUGUCAAGGACAAAAAUGAUAUUUAUGAUGAUAAAGAAAUCACUGAUGAGUUUAAUGAUUUUUUUGUAAAUGUAGGUAGGAGUUUGAUGGAGAACAAACCAAUAAUAAAAGAUAAGUUGACCACAGUGAUUAGUACUGUCAAUAGUAUUGUCCUUGACAAAGUAGAUAAAGAAGAAAUACGAAACAUGGUAAAAAAAAAAAACUGUGGAAACGAUCAACCGAUUAUCAGGACCUGGACAUGAUAACUGUUAAAACCAUCAUAGAAUAUGUCACUGAACCAUUCACUUACAUUUGUAAUCUAUCACUUUCUACUGGAAAUGUUCCUGAUGCAAUGAAAACAGCGAAAGUUUUCCCUUGUACAAGAGUGGUGAUAAACAUAGUUUCAAUAAUUACUGGCCGGUCUCACUGCUUCAACAGUUUUCUAAAAUUUUGGAAAAAGUAUUUGUAUCAAGGUUGGAUAAAUUCAUCGAAAAAAAUAUUUUAAACAAUGAACAAUAUGGGUUUAGUACUAAACAUUCCACAGCAAUGGCAAUAAUGGAAUUAACUGAUAAAAUAUCAACAGCAAUUGACAAUAAAAAUGACUUUGUUAGUGUUUUCAUUGAUUUGAAAAAAGCUUUUGACGUCAUUGAUCACUCAAGGUUACUUUGAAAAUUAAGUCGGUCUGGAAUAAGAGGUGUGGCUCAUCAGUGGGUUAAAACUUAUUUAGAAAAAAGGAAACAGUUUGUUCAGAUAAAGGACCAAAAACCAAAACUAUGUGGAAUUAAUUGUUGAGUUCCACAAGGGUCGGUCCUCAGACCAAAACUGUUCAUUUUGUUUAUUAACGACUUGGUAAAUGUAUCUAAGACACUCGGUACCAUUCUAUUUUCAGAUGAUACAACACUGUUUUACUCAGGAUCAAAUAUUGAGGAGGUGGCUAAAGUGAUAAAUGAUGAACUGAUUAAAAUUAAAAACUGGUUUGAUAUAGAUUGACACUGAAUCUUAAUAAAAUAUAUAUAAAUUUAUACUGUUUAAUGAUAAUAAGAACAGUGAUGUGUCAUUGGAAAUAGAUGGGAUUGCAAUUCAUAGAGUAAAAGAAACUAAAUUUCUUGGGAGUUCUUAUUGAUGAAGACUUGUCAUGGAAAUCCCAUAUUAGUUACAUAAAAGGUAAAAUUGCCAAAUCCUUAGGAGUAUUACAUAGAGUCAAGUUUUUACUGACUAAUUCUAGUCUGUAGGCAUUGUACAAUUCACUGAUUAUUCCAUACUUGACUUAUUGUGUAGAAAUCUGGGGUGCAACAUACAGAGCAGGAGGGACACGGACGAGCAGCUCCUCCUUCUGCUAAAAAGCUGACCUGGUUCUGAACUGGUGCAGAGUCCAGUUCUCAUUAGAACAUGUCUGAUUCUGGACACCGAGUUAACCCUGAGCAGUCAGAUCACUCACCAGCCAUGUUAUAAAGCACAUAUAUUAGACAGUUUGUUUUGUACACGAUCUAAGUUACUAAACUCCCACAACAAGGUGAUGUUAUUAUAUUUUUCAAGCUAAAACUGCCCAACACGGAUGUAGUCCUCUAGCCUGCACUGGUCCAGGCUAGAGCCUUGCAGGUGAAUUAUUUAACCAUCUGUCUUUCUUUACCUUCUAGUUUUAGCAUUAUGUCAUUAUUUUAGCUUAUUGUUACACGUGUGUUGCUGCUCUUAAAAACAACUAUAAAUAUAUUUGCUGUUUCUUCAUAUUUUACAUAGCCUCCCAGCAGCUGCGUGUGACACUGGGAUCAUGAUGGGAAUUCCACCCAGAGCAGCUUCUACACUCCUGAACAGAACCAGGUGUGGUGGAGAGCUUCUGAGCAGCUUCAUUCUGAAUGACAGAACAAGCUCCAUGAACUGAUCCAGGCUAAAUGAACCCAAGUAAUCUGCUGUCACACUUAGUAAAGCUUAUUGCUACACAUGAGUUGCUGCUGUGAGCUUGGAGCUAGAUUGCAUCAUGACAUCAUGGAGGAGACUACCGAUUCUGGUCCUGUGACACUUGGUGGUGACAUGUGAGCUGAUUCACCUGGGCAUUCAGCAAAAUAUGGACUCUACACCAUGAGGCAGGCACACGUUAAUACUCUAUCAGAGCACAUAAGCCUGGCGGAUCACCAGAUAACUCAUGUCAUCUGGUUAUGACAGCAUGAGGAUGCCCUCACACACCUGUAACCUAUCAGCUCAUCUGGCAGAAUAGAGAGAGAAGAGACAACACCACAUCUCCUGUUCCUGGAAAGCCUUCAGCCAUCCUUCGAUGACUGAGAACCUCCAUCAGAUCUGUCUCCUGUCUGCCUACAAUUAUUAUAAUAAAUAUUGUGUUUGACAAGUUUUUAGUGCUGCCAAAUAUCUCAUUUUGAUUCCAGUUUUGAUAUUUUAAUGGAUAUUUAUAAAUUACAUUAACUGAAUUAUCACAUUGUUGCAUGUUUAACUAGCUCUAUUGUGAUGAAUUAAACUAGCACCUCACUGUUAAAAGCUCGUUUUAAUUUCAAGCAUGUUUAAGUAUUUAUGGACAUGAACAAAAACAGGAAAUAUAUAAAUUGAGAUUUAUUUAAUUAAUAUAACAAAUAACUGUUUAGAGGAGGAAAGAGUCAUUCAAAGGCACAUUCUUCUGGAAGCUCCUGAUCCUGACCACACCACCAGAGGAGACCAGCUGCAGACACCAGAGGAUCACCUACGACCAAGAAAGCAGCUGGUAUCAGUAAAUAAAUAAUGAAAUCAGGGCAGUUUUAGUGGGCUGAACACAUUACAGAAUAUUUUCCUCAUGGGGUAGUUUCAUAACUUUCUAUGCAGCAGACUGUAACUUGAGCCCAGGGCUCCUGGAGAGCUGCUAUCCAGCACGUUUCAGUGGUUUUCCUGCUUUAACAGGUUAGAUUAGCUGUUAAGCAGCUCAGCUAUUUGUUGCUGAUUAAAAUCAGGUGUGUUGAAGCAGAUAAAUCUCUAAAACAUGCUGAAUACUAGCUCUCUAGGGCCGUGGAGCCAAACCCUGCAGCUAAUCUAAUGCUAUGGCUAACGGCUACUUACCAUUCAGAGCUGGUUCUGUUGGGUCGGUUCUGGUAGUUUCAGGCAACUCACAAGCUCAAAACAAUAAGGCUCAGGUCCGCUUGUCUCCUCCAAAUAGACUUGGUCCCUUUCUUCUCAAGUGCCUGGGUAAGGAGGAGGAGAAACGUCCUCCACUUCUAAUGACUGCUCAGAGUGAAGGGAUCUAGCUUUGUCUCGUUACCCAUCAGGUUGAAUGUAAUAAAAAUGUAAUAACAGCAAAACCGAAGACAUCACUUCAAAGCUGAGAAAAAAAACUACUAAAUUGGAGAAAGUCAUUAGUGUACUUUAAAAGAUGUAGUCGGUGGAAAAUUUUGUUUUAAAAUUUCAUAAAUCAUGCAUUUAACAGUGCUCAGAUGUCAUUUCAGACCUCUGAAAUGUCUCAUCACCAUUCAAAAACCGCUGCACCUAUUGGAAAUUUUCAAAAACUGUGAGCGGCAGAAGGCUUUGAUGUCAUCUGUGUGAAUUUUGGUGUGCCUACUUUGAAUUGUUUAGAAGGUAUGUCGAGAACAUUUUAGCUGUCUGAAGACGAUCGGAGGAGAAAAUCUCUGUUCCUUUUAACAUGUGUUUCAAUUGAAGAAAAUCUGGGUCUCUCCUCCUUCUGAGGCUUGUAGAGAAAGAACAGUAACACUUAAGAACAAAAUGAAACCCAUUCUGAAAAGCUGACAAAAAUUCCAACUUUUUGAGAUAUAAUUUGUUUCGGUUAUCCAAACGGUCUGGGUGUUGGAAAGAGUUGUUUCUAGAAAAUGUGAAGGUCAAAAGUUAGAGUGCAGAAAUUUCAGUUUAGAGUGGUGAGACAUUUUUUAUUUUGAAUAUUCUCAAAGAAAUGAACAAAACGACCACAAUGUUUGGAGUACAUUCAUGAGUAAUAGCUCAAAACGAAGGUAUAUCCAUUAGCUGCAAGCCAGCGUGCGUCUCAUUUCAAUUGGACCUACGGUUCUCUCAGGACAAUGCCAGAAAUGGAGCAAAGGAGGGUCACUGCUCCUAUCUUUGCCCAUUAUAAUUUUUGAGAUUUUUUCUGAAAAUCUCAAGCCGUACCUCAAAUUCUACCUGUGAUUUUAGAAAAACUGUAAUAGAUAUCAAAGAGACUUUUUAACCAGUAAUAGCUGAAAGUCUUGUGAGUUUGUUGAAACUUGAAUGAAGUCUCUGGGUUAAAGUUAACCUAUAAGAGUUCAAAAAAAGUGAUAGGAUUUAGCUGAAAAUUGAGCAAUCCCAUUCAUUUCAAUGGGACCAAAAAUCGCAGAAAAAGCUGAAUAUCUCAAGAAGUAUAAAUUAUUUUAAUACCAAAAGUCAUUGCCGGCAUAAGCUGAACGAGCUGAACGUUUUGAUACUAAAAUUGAGUAAAAAGUUUAAAGAAUUGUGGAAGUAGUUAAAUGCCAAACCACAUACGGAAGCAGAAUAAUAAACUAUAACUGCCGGGCUUUACAGCAUUCAAACAACAAGCUGGGAGUCUUUGUCCUAGUUUACAGACGCAUUAGAAAACCGGCCUCUCAAAUAAAGUGUGUGCCACUCCGGUACAGUCGGUGGUGACAUGCCCCUUUUCAUUUUGGGAUUCUUCCAGAUAGCUUAUAGCAACACAAGCAGUAAACAGAGGCUGGCGGCAGUGAAGCAGAUAGAAUUGGCACAAGAUCUGCAGAAUGGUUGAAGGAAUAUACAACAACGCUGUUGCACAGCUUACUUGGUACGUACUGUCCUGUUUUAUGGUGUUACGUGUGUUUGUUUGUGACGAUGGUCCUUGCAGAAGACCACCUCAGCGGUUUCGUCACUUCUGGAAUGCGAGCGUCUAGCCUGUAUUAGCUUGUUGGACGUGUUUACAUGCAGAGUGUAAUCGGAUUGCUACCGCAUUAUCUGGGUGCUUCAGCUCAAUUAGAAAGAGUUUGCUUUCAGACAGACUAACGUGUUUACAUGCAUUAAAAAUAAACUGACGUGACUCUUUAGGGGAAUGCUUUGGUUUUCUGGUGGACAUGUAAACACACUGAGAUAAAGAGCUAAAUAGGACUAUGGGACAUUAAAGUGCCUAUGAGGAAGUUUAACAACAACAUGUAUAGAAAUUAGGGCUGCAUGAUAUUAGGAAAUCCUGCGAUAGUCGAUAACAGUGCUUAAUAUUGCGAUAUCGAUGUUACUCAUGACAAAUGAACAAAUACUAAAGUAUGCAUUGUUGAUGUCGUCUGGCGUGUGACGUCUGCUCUGGGUUCAAAGCAAACAAAAACUAAUGCAUGAAAUCCAUUACAACAUAAUAUUUUUAUUGCAAAAAUAUGCAGCUGCACCUGCUACUGUAUUAACAGCUGCACCUGCUACUGUAUUAGCAGGUGCACCUGCUACUGUAUUAGCAGCUGCACC